AUCCCAGUAGCGUAAUGAAUAGCGCGUUAGAAUUCUAAUAUAAAGGGCUUAGGUUCGAACCCCACCUGGGAUG